rnacentral:rRNA from 1 species
UGGCGGACGGGUGAGUAACACGUAGGCAACCUGCCCAUCAGACUGGGAUAACCACGGGAAACCGUGGCUAAUACCGGAUAAUCCUUUUCCACACAGGUGGGAAAGUUGAAAGGCGGUCUUUUGGCUGUCACUGAUGGAUGGGCCUGCGGCGCAUUAGCUUGUUGGUGGGGUAACGGCCCACCAAGGCGACGAUGCGUAGCCGACCUGAGAGGGUGAUCGGCCACACUGGGACUGAGACACGGCCCAGACUCCUACGGGAGGCAGCAGUAGGGAAUCUUCCGCAAUGGACGAAAGUCUGACGGAGCAACGCCGCGUGAGUGAAGAAGGGUUUCGGCUCGUAAAACUCUGUUGUCAGGGAAGAACGCCGACAGGAGUAACUGCCCGUCGGGUGACGGUACCUGACCAGAAAGCCACGGCUAACUACGUGCCAGCAGCCGCGGUAAUACGUAGGUGGCAAGCGUUGUCCGGAAUUAUUGGGCGUAAAGCGCGCGCAGGCGGUCCUUUAAGUCUGAUGUGAAAGCCCACGGCUCAACCGUG